rnacentral:rRNA from 1 species
GGCUCAGGAUGAACGCUGGCGGCGUGCCUAAUACAUGCAAGUCGAGCGAACAGAUAAGGAGCUUGCUCCUUUGACGUUAGCGGCGGACGGGUGAGUAACACGUGGGUAACCUACCUAUAAGACUGGAAUAACUCCGGGAAACCGGGGCUAAUGCCGGAUAACAUGUUGAACCGCAUGGUUCUACAGUGAAAGACGGUCUUGCUGUCACUUAUAGAUGGACCCGCGCCGUAUUAGCUAGUUGGUGGGGUAACGGCCUACCAAGGCGACGAUACGUAGCCGACCUGAGAGGGUGAUCGGCCACACUGGAACUGAGACACGGUCCAGACUCCUACGGGAGGCAGCAGUAGGGAAUCUUCCGCAAUGGGCGAAAGCCUGACGGAGCAACGCCGCGUGAGUGAUGAAGGUCUUCGGAUCGUAAAGCUCUGUUGUUAGGGAAGAACAAAUGUNUAAGUAACUGUGCACAUCUGA